rnacentral:rRNA from 1 species
UACGUAGGGGGCGAGCGUUGUCCGGAAUCAUUGGGCGUAAAGAGCGUGUAGGUGGACUGGAAGGUCUGGUGUGAAAGCCCGGGGCUCAACCCCGGAGGGUCACUGGAAACCAACAGUCUUGAGUCCGGAAGAGGAGAGUGGAAUUCCUGGUGUAGCGGUGAAAUGCGCAGAUAUCAGGAAGAACACCCGUGGCUAAGGCGGCUCUCUAGUACGGUACUGACGCUGAGACGCGAAAGCGUGGGGAGCGAACAGG